rnacentral:lncRNA from 1 species
AUGUGGUAUGGGUUGCCCGGCCGGCCUCCCUGUCCCCCUCAGCUGGCCUGGUCCUGGAGUGCCCCGUGUCAGCUUCCAGCUCCCUCGUCACUACUUAGCUCUGACAAGCGUGUGGCCGAUGGACCCCCGGGGGACACUGGGGUGGCCACAGCACCACGCAGCGUCCUGAGUAGCAGAAUCCAGAGGCGGAGCUCCUGCUUCCCUGCCCCUCCGAACCCGAGCCAGGCAAGGGCAGGACAGGCCCUUCCACGGAGGACCCGAACCCUGCCCAGGCCCUCCCGAGAUGCUCAUCAAGGCACCGCUCUCCCUGUGCCGGUGCAGGCUCACACGCACGCACACACACACACAGGCCUGCACGCCAUCCAGCACUGCACACACUCACACUCACACACACAGGCCUGCACGCCAUCCACUACUGCACACACUCACACACACACACAGGCCUGCACGCCAUCCAGCAUUGCACACGCUCACACACACACACACACACAGGCCUGCACACCAUCCAGCACUGCACACGCUCACACACACACACACAGGCCUGCACGCCAUCCAGCACUGCACACACACACACACAGGCCUGCACGCCAUCCAGCACUGCACACGCUCACACACACACACACACAGGCCUGCACGCCAUCCAGCACUGCACACACACACACACACAGGCCUGCACGCCAUCCAGCACUGCACACGCUCACACACACACACACACAGGCCUGCACGCCAUCCAGCACUGCACACGCUCACACACACACACACACAGGCCUGCACGCCAUCCAGUACUGCACACACACUCACACACACACACACAGGCCUGCACGCCAUCCAGCACUCCACAGGGUCCCUUGGCCAGGGCAGCCCCCACCGCUCUCUUGGGGGUCAUGGGGCUCUCCUUGUGAGGUCACACCUCCUCUUGGGGCCCAGGCAGCAGGGGUGUCAGAUGAGGUGGGGCAGGGAGGGGGCUGUCCCCCAGGCCUCAUUCAGGCACAUGGCAGGAACACGGGCAGACACCUCUGA